rnacentral:tRNA from 1 species
GGUGUUACAAGGCUUAAGUUAUGUUGCUACCAUAACCGAUUAGAGUUCAAUUCUCUAAUAAUACCG